rnacentral:rRNA from 1 species
AACGAACGCUGGCGGCAUGCCUAACACAUGCAAGUCGAACGAGACCUUCGGGUCUAGUGGCGCACGGGUACGUACGGCGGGGUAACCUGCCCUUGGGUUAGGAAUAACUCCCCGAAGGGGAUCCUCAUACCGCAUAGUCUCUUACGGCCAACGAUUUUUCGCGUUUGGAUGGGCCCGCGUUGGAUUCGCUAGUUGGUAGGGUAUAAGCCGGCCAACGCGACGUUCCAUAGCUGGUCUGAUAGGAUGAUCAGCCACACUGGCACUGCGACCCGGCCCAGACUCCUACGGGGCGCAGCAGUGGGGUAUACUGGACGCUGGGCCAAGGCCUGAUCCAGCCACGCCGGGGGAGUGAGGAAGGCGUUAGUGUUGUAAAGCCCUCUUUCCCGAGGUGAUAAUGACAGUACCGGGUGAAUAAGCUCCGGCUAACUCCGUG